AAGAGCCCUGUGGGUGAAUCUGUAUUUGAGAAUUAAGGGAAAAGAAGCUACAUCAUGUGGUCUUCUGCUAAUGGAAGUGUAGAAAUCCAGACUCAAACAGAACAUGUGCAUCCAGCAACUGGAUGCAGAAUUCGUAUUUCGUUGCUGAACUGUCCAGCCACUCUGCUAUCACAGAUUUGGAAGGUUCUACACUAUUUCUUGGGCAUGGUCACACUUUAGGACAGAAUCUCAGAUUUCUCAAGAAUCAUGACUUUUGGUUCAGGCUUAUGGGGCUGCCUUAACUGUAGACAUCUGGAGAUGAAGGGGUCUGGAGGAGCAGAUGGCCAAACUAUCCAUGUGGCUUGGUUUUAAGAAGAUGAACUAGGGCAGAAUGAAAAUGGUGCCCAUCUGGAAGCCCCAGUGAUUUUGAAUCACGGGAAUGGGUAUAAAUCCUACAAUUAUAUCCCGAUAUUUCUGGUCAUUAGCCAGGCUCUGGGCAAAUUUUGGUCCCAUGUGUAUAUGUGAAAGUAUUUUAGUUUUCAGUGGGAUUGUGAUCAUUGAGACUUAUCUACUCUGCAGUGGAAAAGGCUGGCUGUAAGGAAGAGAAAUCCAUUUUAAAUAGCUCAGAUGAAAGGGUGAUUAAUAAAAGGGAUUCUCAUGGAAAGAAAGUGCAGAGUGCAGCCCGGCCUUUGGGAACUGGAAAAUGGUCUGGCGGCUCCGCUUCCCGCUUCUCCCUUUGUGGUGCCGCCUGGCAUCUGUUUCUCUCUGAGAGGCAGCAGACCAGGCUUCCUGCCUCCUUGUGGUCUCUGUCUCUCCACAAUGUUGGCUUGCACCAAGAUUCUGGCACUACUUCCGAUCCCAUCUCCAUGACUCUACAAAUUUAGCACCGUCGUUCAUGGUUGCCAUCUCUGGGAGUCUCUGCUGUUCUUUGGGAGAGUGUAUCAGUUAUCUAUUACCGUAGUAAUGCUGCAUAACAAUCAUUGACACCUCAGUGGUGAACAGCACUAAACAUUUGCUGUUGUGUACUAGUCAGUGGGUUGCUGGGUGGUUUGGCUGGUCUGAGAUGAGCUGAGCUGAGCUUGGUAGGACUCACGUGUGCCUCUGUGGUCAGGUUUGGGUAGCUGGGUGGCUUUGUGAAUCUUGAAUGGGCUUUCCACAUGGUUAGAUCUCCCCAGGCACAGACGGGCUGGCUGGGCUCUGUUCUGUGUGCCUCAGUCUCCAGCAGGCCAGCUCAAAGAAGGACUCUUCUCACGGAGAAGCAAGGAAACAAGCAAGAAGGAGCUGGAAGCACCCGCAGCCUUAGAGCCCUAGUCUGAGAGCUGUAUGCCAUGGCUGCUACUGCAUUCUCUUGUCCAAAACAAGUCAAGAACCUAGCCUAGAGUCAAGGAAAGUGGAAGAAGCAUGCCCCAUCUACAACGUGAAGGGGAGGACAGGGCCAACCAGAACCUGGGCCACUCUGCCGCCACAGAACCUGUGCUCUGCCCGCUCUAGUCACCGAGCUCCAGAUAUCACAGACUGCUUGACUGCCCUGCAGUGGCCACCAGGGGCUGGUCCCCGAAGUGAGAUGCUACUCUGGCUGCUUCACCUUCGGUGGUUUCUCCCCUGGCCAUCUUCAUGGCAUCACCAGGUCCCAUCUGACAGUAUGCAGGGCCAGCUGGCGGUGCCCUGGUCAUGUUCCCUGCAACAGAGGCUGGGAAAGUGAAGGAGGUGAACUCUGCAUUUCACUGAGAUUCCCAUGGAAGGAGUUCCCCAAACACAGGAAAGAGAUUCAGAUUCUGGACAGCUAAACAUAGGAAGAAAAAUGUCCACAACACAAAAUCCUUCAUGAUGUUGUCCCAAGAGUCUGAGAAGAUGCUUUCAAAGGGAGUCUGUGAGGUUCGAUAAAUAGUUGAGCAAACCAGGUGCUCAGAAGUUGUGCUGACUCUCCCCUGGAUCUGAGCAGAGACAGGGGUUAUCGAAAUCAGCUGGGCUUGUUAAGCCUGCCUGUGGCCACCGAAUGAAGUUCCAAACAUAUGCUCUAAGGCACCCUGGAGAUAGGGGGGCUGUGCGUCUCUCAGAGGUAACCCCCAAAUUGAACAAAGCAACAAACCAGGUUGAUGAGAUGACUUCAAAAGCCAGAGCCUCUCAAUUACUGAGGAAUCAGCUGGAGAACAUUAUAGUUAAGUAUAACCGAAGGCAGACAACUCAUUAAAAGGAUUGCCCUCGGUAAUGAAAACCAUACUGGCAGAGAGACUUAGCAGGGCUCAGGAAAGGCCCUGCGCAUCCCGGGCCCAGAGUGCAAGUGCAGACACUGCUCUGGCUUCCACCCAUGAGAAACAUUCUGCUUCUUUCCUGGCAUCGUUUUCUCCAGACUCAUUCAUUACUAUUUCUGCCUUUAUUUGCCCAGGGUAUAGCACUUUACAAGGUGCUUGAAUGUUCAGAAUCUGCUUCCUAAUGUUAAAAGAAGAUGAUUAUAUAUACUAAGUGGAGCUGUUUAAAAUAAGGUUGAAAACAUUUGAGGGUGGGUGGGGCAGGUAUCUCUGGUCCCUUUGAGAAUCUGAUGAAAACUGCUGAUCUUCUUUCUAGGGAAAGUUACACAUGUGUGUGCACACAGCUCCUUCCACAAUUUUGCGUGUAAUUUGAUGAGCCCACUGACAUUCAUGCAUGGAAAUUUAGAGGAUUAGAGCGUGAAGAGCCUUGUAAGCCAUGUUAAGGAUCCAAAACUUGAUGCAGAGGUCAUUUAGGAUACUACAGCAGGUAGGAACUGCUUUCGGCUUUCUCUGUGAGAGAGACACAGAAUAACUGGUUUAAGCAAGAUAGGUAUUUUUCUCUACUGUGAAAGAAUUCAGAAGUGGGCAGUUCAUAGUUAACUGAUAUUCACAAUACUGUCAACAUCCUAGACUCUUCUUUAUCUUUUAGCUCUGCUGUUCUUAGUACAUGCUUUCCUCAACAUCUCUUUGUGGUCAUUAGACAGCUAGCUGUUGCUCCAGUCAUCACAUUUGCAUUCCAAUCAGGGAGAAAGAGGAACUAGGACGCCUGGCUGGUGGGAGAAUUGCUUUGUGAUGUGAAAAACACACACACAUGUCAGAAUGGGUGAUCAGAGUCAGAGGAAGUCGUCAGAGAUACACCCCCAGAGUCUGUCCAAGAGGGAGAAGUCUUGUGGGCUGGGAAGGAAAUCAUGACUUCUAGCAGGUCCUGGUUGAGACCAAAAGAUCCUGAGCACUGAGAAGAUGACAGUGCUUUCUCAAAAACAUCUCCCCUCUGAGGAAGUCCAACAGCACUCUGAUUUUUCCUGUAACUGCUUAGACCUUUUGCCCAGAAGUCAGAUUUGUGGAGCUGUAACUUGCAUACAAUGAACGCACAUAUUCUAAGUGCACAAUUCAGUGAUGUCUGUCAGAUGUGUACACACUUUGUAUAACCCCAGUCAAAACCCUCCCGUCAUUACAGAAUAUUCCCUCGUGCCCCACUCACUCAGCUUCUACACCCCCUACCCCAGGCAACCACUGAUCUGAUACCUGUUAUUACAAAUGAGUUGGCCUGUUUUAGAAGUCAUGUAACUGGAAUCAUUCAGAAAAUAUUCUUUUGUGUCUGGUUUCUUGAGUCAGCAUCAAAGCUCUCAGAUUCAUCAUGUUGCCUAUCUGUAGUGUGUCUAUUUCCGGGAGUACUUCUGUCAUAUGAAUAUACCACAAUUUGCUUAUCUACUCAUGUGUUGAUGGAUAUUUGGGUUGUCUUCAGUUUGGGGCCGUUAUGAAAAGACUCAUAAACAUUUGUGUACAAGCCUUUUUAGAACAUACAUUUGUGUUGUCUUGGAAUGGCUUGAUCAUAUGGUAAGUUUUAACAUUUUAAAAGUUAUAUGGUAUGGUAUAUAGUUAAAUAUGGUAUAUUUAAUGUUUUAAAGAAGCUGCCAAACUCUUUUCUGAAGUGGUUAUACCAUUCUAUCUUUCCAGUGGUGCAUGAGUCUUUCCAUUGUUCCACAUCCUUAAUAACAGCUGGUAGGGUCACACUUUUUUCUUUUAUUAUUUUAGCCAUUUCAAUAGAUAUGAAGUGAUACAUCAUUGGGUUUAAAUUUGUAUUUCCCUGAUGACCAACAUAUGUGCCUAUUGGAGACUCAUAUACCCUCUUUUGAGAAGCAAAAACUUUUGCUCAUUUAAAAAAAUUGAAUUAUUUGUCUCAUUAUCUGCUUGUAUGAGUUCUUUUAUAUUCUGGAUACAAGCCCUUUGCCAGAUAAUUAUUUAGAAAAUGCCUGCUCCCUAUCUGUAGCUUGCCUUUGAAUUUUCUUAACUGUGUCUUUUGAAGAAGAUUUAAAUUUUGAUAAAGUCAAUUUAUAAUUU